rnacentral:lncRNA from 1 species
AUUUGAUGGGCUGAAGUAAAAGGAUUUAUUAUGCAUUUAUUUCUUUUUGAGGGCUGGAAUACAGUAUUGUUAGAUGCCUUGAACUCUAUUCAUAGCGGAGAAGGAGGAUGCCAGUCAUCUCUACAAAUAAAACAACAGAAAAAACUGGAUGUUUGCAAAAAUAUGCGCAUUUCCUGUGUCUGAAAGUUGAGAUCUAGGACUGCAGCUCUAAUAUUGGUUACCACAAAUUCAUAUGGAUGGAAGAAGGGAACAAACUGAAAUCAAGACAUCAUUAUUCUUCCCUUUCCUCUGAUGGAUGAUAGGCACUGCUCAAUGCAUCCUGAUCUAGUGUCUACAACACUAGUUUUUCCCCAAACUAUACAAGUGAUAUUUGCUGGAAUAUUCAUUAUAGUUAAGAGACAAGAAGUGUUUCAUCUACUUCUGUAUAUUUCCUGAGAUGGUACAUGUGAGAGUACUGAAUUAAAUGUUUAUAAGACAAUUUGAACU